rnacentral:rRNA from 1 species
AAGCGUUAGCUGCGCCACUGAAAGAUCUUGUCUCCCAACAGCUAGUUGUCAUCGUUUACGGCGUGGACUACCAGGGUAUCUAAUCCUGUUCGCUACCCACGCUUUCGCACCUUAGUGUCAGUACAGAACCAGGAAGCUGCCUUCGCCAUUGGUAUUCUUCACAAUAUCUACGCAUUCCACCGCUACACUGUGAAUUCUACUUCCCUCUUACGUACUCUAGUCAUCUAGUUUUGGAUGCAGUUCCUAGGUUGAGCCAGGGCUUUCACAUCCAACUUAAAAAACCACCUACGCGCGCUUUACGCCCAGUAAUUCCGAUUAACGCUUGGACCUUCCGUAUUACCGCGGCUGCUGGCACGGAAUUAGCCGGUCCUUAUUCUGUAAGUAACAUCAAGGAUUGCAGGUAUUAACUACAAUCUUUUUCUCCCUGCUUAAAGUGCUUUACAACCCUAGGGCCUUC